GUAUGUUUUAUGCUUCCUGGUUUAUCAUAAUUUCACUGAUUCCGAAUCAGAUCAGAAGUCCGACUGUCUACGGAUUUUCAUCGAAGUAGACCAUAACUCCUUGCGGCUAGACGAGUUGGUGACUUCCGGUCAAAUGUAAACAGAUUUGUCUGUUGCAACAACGAAAACAAUCAACUUCGGUUGAUAAACAACUCGAAACUCUACAGAAGACUCUGAAAGAUUACAACAGCGUGGAAAGCCUUAAGGCCGAUCAGUUGAAAAAGCUUGGUCAACUGUACAACAUUGACCCCAAGUUCCCUAAACAGGCACGGAUUGUGUUACUCUGCUAUGUACUUGGCCUUUCAACAACCGGUCACAUUCAGACAGUGGCAACCAGAGACUCCUGUCAGCAUUUAAAUGAUGAUCAACAGAAACACUGACUGUAAUAACUGUUAUAUCGCUGUGAUAACUGUACAUUUUUCGCGAAAAUAUUUUCUAAAUUAAUAAAGCUUAUUUGUCCAAAAUUUGUUGUAUAAAUUAUUCCAGAAAUGUUCAAAAUAAACAAGUUUGGUCA